rnacentral:rRNA from 1 species
AUUGAACGCUGGCGGCAGGCCUAACACAUGCAAGUCGCACGAGUGGCGGACAGGUGAGUAAUGUCUGGGAAACUGCCCGCUGGCGGGGGAUAACUACUGGAAACGGUAGCUAAUACCGCAUACCAUCGGAUGUGCCCAGAUGGGAUUAGCUUGUAGGUGAGGUAACGGCUCACCUAGUAGACGAUCCCUAGCUGUUCUGAGAGGCUGACCAGCCACACUGGAACUGACACACGGUCCAGACUCCGACGGGAGGCAGCAGUGGGGAAUAUUGCACAAUGGGCGCAAGCCUGAUGCAGCCAUGCCGCGUGUAUGAAGAAGGCCUUCGGGUUGUAAAGUACUUUCAGCGGGGAUGCGUUACCCGCAGAAGAAGCACCGGCUAACUCCGCGCCAGCAGCCGCGGUAAUAC